rnacentral:lncRNA from 1 species
AUGUGUGAUGAAAUGAGCUCAAAAUCACAAAAGAAGCAAAAAGACCACUAAUUCUACCAUAAAUACAAGAAAAGGAACAAAAGUGGACUGCCCGGACCCUCAACGGCACCUCCCAAGACAAAGAGAAGAAAACAGAGUCUGAACACGCCCCGUGUCCAGAUGAAAUGAGCUCAAAAUCACAAAAGAAGCAAAAAGACCACUAAUUCUACCAUAAAUACAAGAAAAGGAACAAAAGUGGACUGCCCGGACCCUCAACGGCACCUCCCAAGACAAAGAGAAGAAAACAGAGUCUGAACACGCCCCGUGUCCAGCGAACACGGGGGCGUGCCCAGGAAGCAGCAGAAAAGACAAACCAGUAGAAGCUUCCAUUGCUCACCACGGGGCCGUGCCCAGCGGGCACGGGGGCGUGUUGAAAGUACAGCAGGCGCAUUAAUUGUAAUUCGCAAUUACAAUUAAUGAAG